rnacentral:rRNA from 1 species
CGGUACUGCAAGUCUUCCGUUAAAUCCACCUGCUUAACAGUUGGGCUGCGGGGGAUACUACAGCGCUAGGAGGCGGGAGAGGCAAGCGGUACUCAAUGGGUAGGGGUAAAAUCCGCUGAUCCAUUGAAGACCACCAGUGGCGAAGGCGGCUUGCCAGAACGCGCUCGACGGUGAGGGAUGAAAGCUGGGGGAGCAAACCGGAUUAGAUACCCGGGUAGUCCCAGCUGUAAACGAUGCAGACUCGGUGAUGAAUAGGCUUCGUGCCUUUUCAGUGCCGCAGGGAAGCCGUUAAGUCUGCCGCCUGGGGA